rnacentral:rRNA from 1 species
AGAGUUUGAUCCUGGCUCAGGAUGAACGCUAGCUACAGGCUUAACACAUGCAAGUCGAGGGGCAGCAUGGUCUUAGCUUGCUAAGGCCGAUGGCGACCGGCGCACGGGUGAGUAACACGUAUCCAACCUGCCGUCUACUCUUGGACAGCCUUCUGAAAGGAAGAUUAAUACAAGAUGGCAUCAUGAGUCCACAUGUUCACAUGAUUAAAGGUAUUCCGGUAGACGAUGGGGAUGCGUUCCAUUAGAUAGUAGGCGGGGUAACGGCCCACCUAGUCUUCGAUGGAUAGGGGUUCUGAGAGGAAGGUCCCCCACAUUGGAACUGAGACACGGUCCAAACUCCUACGGGAGGCAGCAGUGAGGAAUAUUGGUCAAUGGGCGAGAGCCUGAACCAGCCAAGUAGCGUGAAGGAUGACUGCCCUAUGGGUUGUAAACUUCUUUUAUAAAGGAAUAAAGUCGGGUAUGCAUACCCGUUUGCAUGUACUUUAUGAAUAAGGAUCGGCUAACUCCGUGCCAGCAGCCGCGGUAAUACGGAGGAUCCGAGCGUUAUCCGGAUUUAUUGGGUUUAAAGGGAGCGUAGAUGGAUGUUUAAGUCAGUUGUGAAAGUUUGCGGCUCAACCGUAAAAUUGCAGUUGAUACUGGAUAUCUUGAGUGCAGUUGAGGCAGGCGGAAUUCGUGGUGUAGCGGUGAAAUGCUUAGAUAUCACGAAGAACUCCGAUUGCGAAGGCAGCCUGCUAAGCUGCAACUGACAUUGAGGCUCGAAAGUGUGGGUAUCAAACAGGAUUAGAUACCCUGGUAGUCCACACGGUAAACGAUGAAUACUCGCUGUUUGCGAUAUACGGCAAGCGGCCAAGCGAAAGCGUUAAGUAUUCCACCUGGGGAGUACGCCGGCAACGGUGAAACUCAAAGGAAUUGACGGGGGCCC